rnacentral:rRNA from 1 species
CCUACGGGGGGCAGCAGUCGAGAAUCAUUCACAAUGGGGGAAACCCUGAUGGUGCGACGCCGCGUGGGGGAAUGAAGGUCUUCGGAUUGUAAACACCUGUCAUGUGGGAGCAAAUUAAAAAGAUAGUACCACAAGAGGAAGAGACGGCUAACUCGGUGCCAGCAGCAGCGGUAAUACAGAGGUCUCAAGCGUUGUUCGGAAUCACUGGGCGUAAAGGGUGCGGAGGCGGUUUCGUAAGUCGUGUGUGAAAGGCGCGGGCUCAACCCGCGGACGGCACAUGAUACUGCGAGACUAGAGUAAUGGAGGGGGAACCGGAAUUCUCGGUGUAGCAGUGAAAUGCGUAGAUAUCGAGAGGAACACUCGUGGCGAAGGCGGGUUCCUGGACAUUAACUGACGCUGAGGCACGAAGGCCAGGGGAGCGAAAGGGAUUAGAUACCCCGGUAGUC